ensembl:snRNA U6 U6 spliceosomal RNA
GUGCUCGCUUUCAACAGCACAUAUAGUAAAAUUGGAACGAUUCUGAGAAGAUUAGCUCGGCCCUGCCCAAGGAUGACACACAAAUUCGUGAAGUGUUCCAUAUUUUU